CGAGGCGUGAAACACCCUUUCCAUGCUCCGUGUCAGCCUGGGUUCCAGAAUGCACGUUUGUCAGACACCUGAGCUUCUGCGCUUUGCCUCCGGCUCCCUCCUCCCUCCCUGCUUCCUUCCACUGUGCCAGGUCCCUCCCACUACAUUUGGCUCCCUGAAAUAUAGUCUCAUUUCACUGCCAGGCCUCUGUGAUUUACUGCGCGUGAGCAUCACCGCGGAGCAAGGAAGACAUUCUUCAUUUUUCUAUGUGACGCACGAGGAGCCAUAAAAGUUGAAGAUGAGUGCUUGUGAGCCUAACGACACAUGUCCCAUCCCGUCAAGGAUUCUUGCCAUUGGAACCCAGCCACCAUGUUAUGAAAAAGCCCAGGCAGCAAUGGGAGGCCCUGUGUGGAUGUUUCAGCCAAAAGCCUCAGCUGAAGUAUCAGCCAACGAGAGAGCUACGCACCGUCCUGAAACUGGUGUUUCCUUCCCAUCCGUGUUCUAUGUUAGUAUUCAUAAGAAAUAUUAGUACUGAUUUUUGUGUCAUAAAUUUUAUAUUACUGUUAUUAUAAUAUGCUAUCCUUCAGCAAUUUGUUUUUUCUUCAUUCAGUGUUAUGUUUUUGUAUACACUGAUACAGAUCAACGUAUAGUUCCAGUUUAUGUUUUAACUGCUGUAUGAUAUUCCAUUCUAGAAUUUUAGUUAAUUCCCCUACCGGUGAGUGUUUAGGUUCUUUCUAAUAUCCCACUUUGAUAUAAGUUGAUAUCUGAACAUACUUCAGCCUCUCUGCGCACGCAUGUGGGAGUUCCUCUAAACAAUGCACUUAGGAUGGGGGCUUGCCUUGUAUGGGUCGCACAGCUUCAAUUUAAUGCACUUAACGGCAGUUUCCGUUUCUCCAUUGUCGUGCUUUAAUUUUUGUCGAAUUGCUAGAUGUGAAGAUGUAUCCUAUUUUUGUCUUCUUUUGCAUUUCCUUGAUUACUAGCAGGUCUAAGCAUUUUUUUUUUCAUAUUUAUGGGGCAUAUGGUUUUUCCUCUUUUGCAAAUUAUCCAUACAUAUUUUUGCUUCCUUUUCUAUUGUUACUUACAUUUUCCUAUUGCUUUUUGAAAAUCGCUUACAUAAUCCCGAAGACAAUCUUUUCUAUAUAGGUUGCUAAUAUCUUCUGCUUUGCUGCUUAACUUUCUGUUUCGUUUAUGGUGGCUUGGAAGGCAGUUUGAAACAUUAAUGAGGUAAAAUUUAUCGAAGAUUUCCAUUGAGAUUUUGCUUCUGGGGACUAAUUAAGAAAUCCUUUCCCACAUAAAGACAUACAGUUUUUCAUUUAUUUAUCUUUAUUUUUUGAAUUUCACUUUCAUGUGGCUAAGCAAUUGUUCUGGCAAUUUAUGGGAAUAGCUCUUUCUUUCGUUGUUUUAUAAUGCAAACUGUGUCAUUUAUCAAGCUCCCUGUCAUGCAGAGGUGUAAUUAUGAGCUCUCUAUUUGCCUAUUUAUGCACUAAUAUUUUCUGUCCUAAUAAGUGCUUUUUAAAGAGUCAGUGUCUUGACCAAGGUCUCUAUGUUACCAAAUCGAGCGGUCAAUUUGCAUCACGCCCUUUCUUGGCCUGUCAGGAACAUGUGACGUGGUUGGCCGCUGCCUCCCUCCUGAAACCUUUUCCUCUCUUGGAUUCCAGGGCACAGCACCCUCCUGGUUUCCUCCGCCUCGCCGGCUGCUCCCCCUCGGUUUCCACUGCAGCUCUGGAUGCUUUGCCCAACUCUUCCCGUUUCAGACCCCAGGGCCCCGUCUCCAGAUCUCUGCUGUGUUCAUCCUCAUUUACUCUCAAUCUGCCUCCAUCUGAUCACCUCCUGUCCACUGGCUUAGAAACUGACUCCACUUUUAUCUUCUUUGAUCUGACCUCAGUUUAAUAGGCACCUAUAAAUGCCUAAUAGGCACCUCUUUUCCCACUA
ensembl:lncRNA